rnacentral:rRNA from 1 species
GACGAACGCUGGCGGCGUGCCUAAUACAUGCAAGUAGAACGCUGAAGAGAGGAGCUUGCUCUUCUUGGAUGAGUUGCGAACGGGUGAGUAACGCGUAGGUAACCUGCCUUGUAGCGGGGGAUAACUAUUGGAAACGAUAGCUAAUACCGCAUAACAAUGGAUGACACAUGUCAUUUAUUUGAAAGGGGCAAUUGCUCCACUACAAGAUGGACCUGCGUUGUAUUAGCUAGUAGGUGAGGUAAUGGCUCACCUAGGCGACGAUACAUAGCUGACCUGAGAGGGUGCUCGGCCACACUGGGACUGAGACACGGCCCAGACUCCUACGGGAGGCAGCAGUAGGGAAUCUUCGGCAAUGGGGGCAACCCUGACCGAGCAACGCCGCGUGAGUGAAGAAGAUUUUCGGAUCGUAAAGCUCUGUUGUAAGUCAAGAACGGGUGUGAGAGUGGAAAGUUCACACUGUGACGGUAGCUUACCAGAAAGGGACGGCUAACUACGUG